CUCAUUCUCCGCCGUCGCCGUCGUCAUCUCCGAUCAAAUGGCCGGAAACAGAAUUGUGGUUACUGAAACCCUAACUUUUGAAAACAGGAAAUGUAUUCAGUCUUUAAAUAUAGAAGUACACGGGGUGUCUUCGUAAUUUCAGUUGCCUACAAAGAUGGUCAUAAGGUUAGACAGAGAGAGCGACAGAAAGGGGAGAGACGGUGGUUCCAGGCGUCACAGAAGGGGGUGGAGACGGUGGUUCCAUUGUGUACGCUUCACCACUGCGCCGACGUGUAAACCAGCUGUCUCGCGAGGAACUCUCCGGCGAUGCCGGUAACUGUCCGGCAAACCUAGGGUUCCGCCAUGACCUCAUAUGGCGGCGGCGUUGAUGGUGUUCUGAUUAAUGAGCACCGAUGGUUAACAGAUUCAACGGAGAUGAAGACAACUGCCAUACGAGUUAGUUCCGACAUAUUUUCCGGCGUUUGAGCGGCGGAGAGAUGAUGCUAGGGUUCCGGUGAAGGUCCGGCAAAGUUCGGGUACCCUGAUUCAGAUGUGCGUCUUCUAGCUACAGUUAGGUCGGGGUCACAUGGCUCUUAAACUAAUGAUAUGUGUUGAUUCAGUAACCGUAGGUGCUCCGCUCACCGAUUUAGAGUCUCUGGCGAGUUCCACACCAGUGUAGAUCGAUAACCACAAAGGCUGGAAAAAAAUCGACUGUUUCUUUUUAAACUUUCAAGUCUCAGAAGGGCAUCAAGCAACAACGCUCAACACUACUCCGCUCUCAAACUUGACGCCCUCGACACAACCACGACCAACUCGAAGGCUUUCGUUAGGCGAUUACGACUCUGCCAAGUAUGCUUUGACAAUUUAGGUUACUAUUUUACGAUGAUGCGCUAUGUAUGUAAGGAGGUUCGAAAUUGUGAUGUGAAGAUGCAUGCAGUUACCAAGCUUGCUAGCAACCUUCUGAGGAUUCCUCUUUCUAAUACCAGUAAUCAGAUGCCCAAGUGUGUGGUAUUAUAUGGCAGGCUUUGCGACGAGCGAUUUAGAUUUCAAGUACACUAAUUUGGCAAGCAAGGUAAGGUUCAGAGGUUCUUUCUUUCCAAAUUGCAUAUUAUUUACACUUGAAAUGUAAAUAUAAAUAUUAAUGCAAUACUUAGAUUUAUUUGUCAACCUCUUAGUAAAAUUCACAAGAAUAGAUUGUUGACUCUUAUCCUUUUUAUAUGCAGAUGUUGAAACUUUGAUUAUAGUGCCUAAUUCAUAAAGUUAUCGAAAUUUCGUUUAAAUCUGUUGUUGCAGUUUAAUCACUGAAAUUAAGUUUGCUUUUUGAAUUUUGUAGUUACAUGAAUUGUAUAUAGAUUUAUACAGGGUUGAGCUGGUUUGGUAACGGGCGCCACCCUCUCCAACUCAUCAUCUAUAGCGCCCCGAGGCGCUAUACCUCCACACCCUCGGAUUUAAAGGGGGGCGCUAUAGGAGGGGCUCCAUCAUGGUAACGAUGGAGAAGGGGCGCUAUAGAAGGGGGCCACCUGAUUUAAACCAAUGAAAUCUUUUUUUUUUUUUAAUUUGUUUAAUAAGGGGCUCCAUCCACACCAUCAAAUUAAAGGGGGCUCCAUGGCUGAGGUGGAUCCUAGGUGGCGCUGACGUGGCCUGAUAAAGCCCCUAGGGGGCUCCAACCACACCCUCCAGCUUAAUUCUUUGCUAAAACUGAGUUAAUUAACUUUUCAAAUCAUGUUUAUUGUUAUGAAUAUCCAUUUGAUCGUGAUGGUAUGGCCAUAGAUGUUAACGGUUAUCAAACAUGUAGCAAAACAAGAUAUGUAUGUGUGAAAUGAUUUAAGAGUUUUUAUGAAAUGAAAAUACACUUAGGUGACUUUUAUUCUUUUAACCCAUUUGAGUUAGUUUUAGUUUAAGUGCAUUCUGAAGUAGACAUGGUAAAUUAUGGUGGGCAAAGGGCUGGCGGUGGUGGUGGAUUUUCAGUGAUUUUGUAGAUGUCUUUUUAUCUAAAUAGCGAAAGGGUCGCCGUAAAGAGCUUAUUUGUCACUUCAACAUCCGUCUCCGAAUACAAAGCCUUGUUUUUGAUUGUUAGGAAUGCUACUAGAAAUGACACCGGCAGGCGGCAACUACAGUGGCAAUCAAUCAAAGCAUGAAAAGCACACUAUAAUUUUGGUUCUCAUUGUAUAAUAAAAAAUCGCAAUCAGUUGCUUAAGUUUGUACGCUGUGUUUUACGCCGCCGCAACGCGCGGCGGGUAAAAAUUCUAGUUGUAUUGAAUCUUGGUCUCCCAUAUAGAUAAAGUAUUAUUUA